rnacentral:rRNA from 1 species
AUUGAACGCUGGCGGCAGGCCUAACACAUGCAAGUCGAGCGGCAGCGGGAAAGUAGCUUGCUACUUUUGCCGGCGAGCGGCGGACGGGUGAGUAAUGCCUGGGAAAUUGCCCAGUCGAGGGGGAUAACAGUUGGAAACGACUGCUAAUACCGCAUACGCCCUACGGGGGAAAGCAGGGGACCUUCGGGCCUUGCGCGAUUGGAUAUGCCCAGGUGGGAUUAGCUAGUUGGUGAGGUAAUGGCUCACCAAGGCGACGAUCCCUAGCUGGUCUGAGAGGAUGAUAAGCCAGAAUGGAACUGAGAGACGGUCCAGACACCUACGGGAGGCAGCAGUGGGGAAUAUUGCACAAUGGGGGAACCCCUGAUGCAGCCAUGCCGCGUGUGUGAAGAAGGCCUUCGGGUUGUAAAGCACUUUCAGCGAGGAGGAAAGGUUGAUGCCUAAUACGUAUCAACUGUGACGUUACUCGCAGAAGAAGCACCGGCUAACUCCGUGCCAGCCGCCGCCGUAACAC